rnacentral:rRNA from 1 species
CCUACGGGCGGCAGCAGUGGGGAAUAUUGCACAAUGGGGGAAACCCUGAUGCAGCGACGCCGCGUGAGUGAAGAAGUAAUUCGUUAUGUAAAGCUCUAUCAGCAGGGAAGAAAAUGACUGUACCUGAGUAAGAAGCCCCGGCUAACUACGUGCCAGCAGCCGCGGUAAUACGUAGGGGGCAAGCGUUAUCCGGGAUUACUGGGUGGAAAGGGAGCGUAGACGGCAGUGCAAGUCUGGAGUGAAAGGCGGGGGCUCAACCCCCGGACUGCUCUGGAAACUGUACGGCUGGAGUGCAGGAGAGGUAAGUGGAAUUCCUGGUGUAGCGGUGAAAUGCGUAGAUAUUAGGAGGAACACCAGUGGCGAAGGCAGCUUACUGGACUGUAACUGACGUUGAGGCUCGAAAGCGUGGGGAGCGAACAGGAUUAGAUACCCGGGUAGUC